UACGAAGGGGGCGAGCGUUGUUCGGAAUCACUGGGCGUAAAGGGCGCGUAGGCGGCCCUCCUAGUCGCGUGUGAAAGCCCCGGGCUCAACCUGGGAAUGGCAAUGGAAACUGGCGGGCUAGAGUGUGGCAGAGGGGGGUGGAAUUCCGCGUGUAGCAGUGAAAUGCGUAGAGAUGCGGAGGAACACCGAUGGCGAAGGCAGCCCCCUGGGCUGACACUGACGCUCAGGCACGAAAGCGUGGGGAGCAAACAGGAUUAGAAACCCGUAG
rnacentral:rRNA from 1 species